CUACGGGCUGCUCCAGUCGGGGAAAUUUUGCAAUGCACGAAAGUGUGACAAAGCAAGCCACAGUGCUGUUCUAUAUUUGAACAGCUUUUGUGAGAUGUAAAAAGCCUCACGAAUAAGGACCGGGCAAGACUGGUGCCAGCCGCCGCGGUAAUACCAGCGGUCCAAGUCGCAGCCACAUUUGUUGGGGCUAAAACAUCCGUAGCUUGUUUCGUAAGUCUUUGGUGAAAUCUGGCCUCUUAAGGGUCGGGCGUGCCUAAGAUACUGCGUUGCUAGAGACCGGUAGGCGUAAUGAGUACGAUAAGGGUAGCGGUUAAAUGCGUUGACCCAUAUUGGACUAACAGUCGCGAAGGCGCGUUACGAGAACGGUUCUGACAGUGAGGGAUGAAGGCUAGGGGCGCAAAGUGGAUUAGAUACCCCCGUAGUC
rnacentral:rRNA from 1 species